GACGAACGCUGGCGGCGUGCCUAAUACAUGCAAGUCGAACGAGAGCGACCGGUGCUUGCACUGGUCAAUCUAGUGGCGAACGGGUGAGUAACACGUGGGUAACCUGCCCAUCAGAGGGGGAUAACAUCCGGAAACGGAUGCUAAAACCGCAUAGGUCUUCGAACCGCAUGGUUUGAAGAGGAAAAGAGGCGCAAGCUUCUGCUGAUGGAUGGAUCCGCGGUGCAUUAGCUAGUUGGUGAGGUAACGGCUCACCAAGGCCGUGAUGCAUAGCCGACCUGAGAGGGUGAUCGGCCACAUUGGGACUGAGACACGGCCCAAACUCCUACGGGAGGCAGCAGUAGGGAAUCUUCCGCAAUGGACGCAAGUCUGACGGAGCAACGCCGCGUGAGUGAAGAAGGUUUUCGGAUCGUAAAACCCUGUUGUUAGAGAAGAACAAGUGCUAGAGUAACUGUUAGCGCCUUGACGGUAUCUAACCAGAAAGCCACGGCUAACUACGUG
rnacentral:rRNA from 1 species